UCUCAGCUCAAAAUCUCCUGAAACUGAUAAGCAAUUUCAGCAAAGUCUCAGGAUACAAAAUCUUCAUGAGGUCAUGUUUUCCUGGCUUGUCUUCAUGCUUGUAGAUGUUUGUCUGUGUCUGGAUACUGAAGAGUUAUUUACUGUAGUCGUCACUGUCUGGGCAUGUUUGUACCUGUCCUUCUUGGAAAGGUGCUCCCAGAUAUUCAAAAGGACUUGGGUGUUGUGAUCUAAGCUGUAUCUACUUUAAGGGCACCCCAAACCUAGUAAACCUUUUGUUCUUCCAGAUUCAGAGAGGUAGCACCUUGAUGGUCUUGGACAAGAUCUGGGAGAAUUCUCAGAAUCAACAGGCAGAGACUCUUGUUCUCUUCCCAUUCCUUUCUCCAAAUCAAAUAGAAUUUCUUUCUUUGCUCUGAGCUACCUGAAGCUGGGGGUGGAAUGUCACAAGCAACCUGUGACCACCACCAUUGUGACUGUGCUAUGUUAGACCUGAAGCCAGCACAAUACUGGUCUUGCCCAAGGACUGCUCAAACCAACUCCCUGGCUGCUGUUUAUGUUUGCUCAAGAGUCUGAGAUUUUACAAUCAGCAGGUGACAAAGCCAGCUAUCCUUGUGUCCUUUCCUUCAGGGUCACAAGUUCCCUCAGGCCCUGGAUAAGUCCAGAGGUGCUGUUCAGGAGACAGAGACUAGAGGAAAAAUCCUUAGAUGUCAACCUUGUGUUCUAUUGCACUGCAGCUGAACUGGCAGUCAAACCACCAGAUGCAGUCCUUCCCAUUCUUCCCUCCCCUUUCCAAAGACAAAGAAACCUCAGCCUGUGGCCGUCACUUCCACAGCCCCAAAGGGAAUACUGCCAGACUACCACUCAUGUUCCUUUAAGGCUCAAGAGCUCUUCAGUCUGCUUCUGUACACAGAAACCUCUCUGGACCACUCUGGCGCUGCUGCCAGGGGAUGGGAAAAGGAUGGUGUCAGUGAUUCAAGACUGUUUUUCUACCUUUUCUGUGCCUGCUUCAGCAAUAUGAAGUUAAAAUCAGAUACCGAGUCUUUCUGAGGAUAUGACGCCAAGAAAAACAGAUGACUUAGAAUGUGGGAAAUGCAAGAUAUGCAAUUCGCUUGGAGGAAAGUGGAAGGUACUCUAUUUGCAACAGAGAGUGGAAGCUGCUAAUGUGCCAAGAAAUUUAUAACUUACAAGUUAAGUUGUCCAUAUAUGAAGUAGACAUCAAAGGAUACAAUAAAGCUGUGGUGUAUAUUUUGAAUUCUAUCAUUGUCAACCUUGUGAAUUUCUAAAAUUUAACUAAGAUACAAAUGUUUAGAUUCUAUUCCUCCAGAGAAGACGAAAGAUGGUUGGAGGAUUUUCUCCCUUUGGAUGUGGAGCACCAGUGUCACAAUUACUUUCUUGAGAGGAUACUUCUCCCAACUGUGUUUACAUCACAGGUCGUGGGCAUUAUAUACUGACAAGAAUUCACCAGGCUCUUGGCAAGACAUAAAAAAAAUCAUUUUUUCUUUUAUGCUCUGUUGUAUCUUUCUACACUUAGUAACAACUAUUCUCCAAUAACACGAGGUUUCUGCUCUCUGAUUUACUUGACCAGCAAAGCAAUGUGGGUCUCAUUGUAAUACAUGCUUUGUUCUAACAGUAUUAUUUUUGUGGGGUAGAUGUGUUAGCAUUAAGAUACUGAUUUUUCUUAGACUAGGGUUUAAUGUUAUAGUAAAAGGCAAAGGAAUGCUGGAUUGAUGAAACUUGUUUCUUGGAGUAUAGGGAAAAUUAAAAAAUAAACUAUUAGGAAAAAUAAGUACAAUCUUGCGGUCUAUGAUUCUAAAAGCAAAUUGUUGCUAUGAGGGAUAAGAGAUUCAAAAAAUAAGUUUCUACUUUAAAUUCCUGAAAAAAUAUCAAUCACUGUAAAAAGAGAGGGCCUGUAGAAGUUAUUUAUAACUAUAGUAGAUAAUCUUUGAUAAAUCUAAUAGACACGUGUGCACAUGGAAGAAAGGCCUAUGAAUAAAGAUGAAAGAUAUAAACGCUGUUUUUUAGAGUAGUUAGAGCUGAGGAUAAACUAAAAUUCACACAGUUGCUAGAGAAAUAUUAAACUUCUAAGUUGUAUUUUGAAGAGCAUGGGGCAGACAACUCUUCUGCUGAACAUUACGGAAUACUCAUAGAUGAGUUAGAAUAGAGAACUUUAAUUUUACAUGAAGAAGAGAAAUACUAAAAUUGGAAAGGGCAGGUCAUAGUGUGUUAUGGAGAAACUGAAAUCUCAGGAAGGAGAGGAGGGAGCAUCU